UGGGGAAUAUUGGACAAUGGGCGAAAGCCUGAUCCAGCCAUGCCGCGUGUGUGAAGAAGGUCUUCGGAUUGUAAAGCACUUUAAGUUGGGAGGAAGGGCAGUAAGCGAAUACCUUGCUGUUUUGACGUUACCGACAGAAUAAGCACCGGCUAACUCUGUGCCAGCAGCCGCGGUAAUACAGAGGGUGCAAGCGUUAAUCGGAAUUACUGGGCGUAAAGCGCGCGUAGGUGGUUCGUUAAGUUGAAUGUGAAAGCCCCGGGCUCAACCUGGGAACUCCAUCCCAAACUGGCGAGCUAGAGUAGGGCAGAUGGUGGUGGAAUUUCCUGUGUAGCGGUGACAUGCGUAGAUAUAGGAAGGAACACCAGUGGCGAAGGCGACCACCUGGGCUCAUACUGCCACUGCGGUGCGAACGCGUGGGGAGCAAACAGG
rnacentral:rRNA from 1 species